AUUGAUAGUAGCAAUUUGGAAUGGUAGGGUUGAAUUCAGUCCUCUAAUAGAAUUUGCUUUCAAUCAAGAAUAAAGGCUCAUCUUGGUAAAUUCAAAAGCUGUAACUGUGGAUCCUGGGGAUGCAGUGAUCUAGGAAAAACUCCAGAAGACAGGGGUGAUUUAGCAGAAGUUGUAAAUAGGCAAGAGGGUCAUGGAUCUCUGUCAUUGAAAGUGGUCAUGCAUUUUAGUGUUUCUUUUGUCCUCAUUGGUUAGAUUAUCACUAAAUUGCAGAAGCUGUGUUUCAUUUCAUUCCUGGUCCUCUCCUUUGCUCCCCUUCCUUCAGCAGUUUGAUUCAACAUCAGCUCAGUCCAUAGUUACUAACCUCUCUCAUGCAUGCACUCCAUCACAUGUCCCAAUCAAAAAAUAACAAAUGCUGAGUGACUGAUGAGCAGCCUCGGCUGUGUCCUGACAGCUGCUCUCUGUCCCUCUAGUGCCCCAGGAGGACCUGGUGGAGGAACUGCCCCAGGGCGGCGAGGAGGAAGAGCCUCUGAGUAUUUUGAAGGCACACGGAGUAGUCUACGAACAUGAUUUCACUGAGGACCUGACAGUCAACCCAGCUUGUGACAGGAUAGAAGAGACUCCAUGUAACUCCAAGGUGGCCUUUUCAAUAUGUGAAACUGACUGCUUCUUGGAGAGCUUUAGCAGCAGUGAUACAGACGAUAAUGCAGACUCUCCACAUGACAGCUGCCCUCAGACACCAGAAAAAUGCAUGGAAUACAAUAAAGAUUCAGAGACGGAGAUUUCGGAAAACUCUUUGCUUGUUUACUGGAGGAAUGUUUUGGGGGAUAUCAAAGAUAACAAAGAAGACUAAGUAAAGCAAGAAUGAACAUGGGACCUGGGGUGAAAAGGCUCUGCUCUGAAUCCAUGAAGACCUGGACCUGGACACCAUCCUGGAUCCCAGAGGGGAUAGAGCCCCCACAGAACCAAGAGCCUCAUCUGGACCAGAUCAAAGGAGGCCUCCCUGCUUCUCUCCUGAGGGCCCUCAUUUAGUACAGCUUCAGUUGUUUUGUUGUAUAGAUUUAGUAUUUAGUUUUAUCUAUAUGUUGUGCAUUUAUCUGUAUGUUCAAUAUUUAUAUGAAAAGUUUUUC
ensembl:lncRNA